GUGAUAAGAGUGACUCAGACUAGCCAAGGAGACUGCCCAUGAACCAAUUCAAAGGCUCAUUUUCUGAUCCUUUACACAAGGACACAGGCAAGUCAUCCUUGGCUACCAGAGCUACACCCUUAUCA
rfam:Leersia perrieri chromosome 8, whole genome shotgun sequence.